GACGAACGCUGGCGGUGUGCUUAACACAUGCAAGUCGAACGGCAAGGCCCUGCUUUCGUGGGGUGCUCGAGUGGCGAACGGGUGCGUAACACGUGAGUAGCCUGCCCUUGACUUUGGGAUAACUUCACGUAACUGGGGCUAAUACCGUAUCGCAGCUCCCGCUGCAUGGUGGGGGUUGGAAAGUUUCGGCGGUUGGGGAUGGACUCGCGGCUUAUCAGCUUGUUGGUGGGGUAGUGGCUUACCAAGGCUUUGACGGGUCGCCGGCCUGGGAGGGUGGCCGGCCACAUGAGGACUAAGGUACGGAGCAGUCUCCUACGGGGGGCAACAGUGGGGAAUAUUGUACAGUGGGCGGAAGCCUGUUGCAGCAACCCCGCGUGCGGGAUGACGGCCUUCGGGUUGUAAACCGCAUUCGCCUGUGACGAAGCGUGAGCGACGGUAAUGGGUGAAGAAGCACCGGCUAACUACGUG
rnacentral:rRNA from 1 species